rnacentral:lncRNA from 1 species
GCGGGAGUCACCUAUCGUAGGAGCUCGGAUGGAGAUUUUCUGUUAGCGGAGUCCGGAGAAGUCCGUCUGAGAUUUAUCUGAUGUGGAGGCUCAUCCAAAGAUCGUCCGUCAGAGAAGUCUGAUUUUAUGGGGAGCCUGGUAGGAGGUCGGUCGGUGAUGGACUUCGGAUAGUGUGGGGGAGGCUCGACAGACAUCAGAGGCGAUCAGCUAUCGCAAGGACCCAGCUGCUGGAGCUCGUCCAUUAUAGAAGCUCGUCCGAAAUCCAUCCACUAGAGAAGUUUGGACGGGAUCCUGUUCUCAUGAGAGAUCGAGAGGGGACUGUCCAUUGUAGGAG